rnacentral:rRNA from 1 species
AUGACGUCAAGUCCUCAUGGCCCUUAUAGGUGGGGCUACACACGUCAUACAAAUGGAUGGUACAAAGGGUCGCCAACCCGCGAGGGGGAGCCAAUCCCAUAAAGCCAUUCGUAGUCCGGAUCGCAGUCUGCAACUCGACUGCGUGAAGUCGGAAUCGCUAGUAAUCGUGGAUCAGAAUGUCACGGUGAAUACGUUCCCGGGUCUU